rnacentral:rRNA from 1 species
ACAAUGGAGAGUUUGAUCUUGGCUCAGGAUGAACGCUAGCGGCAGGCCUAAUACAUGCAAGUCGAACGGUCAGUAGCAAUACUGAUAGUGGCGCACGGGUGCGUAACGCGUAACCAACCUACCCGAAUCUGGGGGAUAGCCCGCCGAAAGGCGGAUUAAUACCGCAUAAAACUGCAGUGUGGCAUCACAUAACAGUUAAAGAUUUAUUGGAUUCGGAUGGGGUUGCGUGCCAUUAGCUAGUUGGGGGGGUAACGGCCCACCAAGGCGACGAUGGCUAGGGGAGCUGAGAGGCUGGUCCCCCACACGGGCACUGAGAUACGGGCCCGACUCCUACGGGAGGCAGCAGUAGGGAAUAUUGGGCAAUGGGCGAGAGCCUGACCCAGCCAUGCC